rnacentral:lncRNA from 1 species
CUCAGCACCACUCGCCCUCCCUUUUUCUCUUCAACACCAUAUCCUGUGUUUUUCUUUUUGUUUUAGACAGAGUCUCACUGUCGCCCAGGCUGGAGAGCAGUGUUGUGAUCAUGGCUCAAUGCAGCCUCAACCUCCUGGGCUCAAGCGAUCCUCCCACCUGAGCCUCCUAAGUAGCUGGGACUACAGAUGCGCACCACCACACCAAGAUAAUUUUUUUCUUUUUAAGAGACGAGGUCUCGCCAUUUUGGCUAGGCUGGUCUCGAACUCUUGACCUCAAGUGAUCCUCCCGCCUCGGCCUCCCAAAGUGCUGGGAUUACAGGCGUGAGCCACCCGGGACAGGCCUAACUCUUAACACAUUCCUCAACCCAUCUCUCUAAAGACCCGUCCCAGUCGUUAGGUUCGCUCAUCCCUGACCUCACCCCAGAAUACGUUAAGACUGCCUGCUCCAUCUCUGAAGCCCACCUGCAGCCUAGCCAUGGCCCUUCCCUAGUGGGUAAGAUCUGCUCCAACCCGAACCAGCCUACAGACACUAGAACUCUAGUCAACAAACCAUGCCCAAACUCUCACUAGGCCCCUUCACCAUCCAGGCCUCUUCUCAACACUUCCUCCCUAGCCUCUCCAGGAUCCCAUACUUGACUACCCAGUACCCCCUCUUUCCUUCCAGACCCACACUCUCUCUCCAGACCUCUCCUCGCCCUCUAGACCACGCCCCCGUCACAAGCCCUGCCCUCACCCUAGGUCCCGCCCCAGCUCUAGGCUCGGCCCAUACUCCUGGCCCUGCCCCAUUGCCAGGCCCUGCCCUCACACUCAAAGCCUCCUCUUGCCGCGCCACAGACUUGGCCUCCCUCAGGCCCGGAUCCAGACUCUGUCCCGAUCCUAGGCGCGGUCUCCUUCCAGGCCCCGCCCCCG